UACGGGGGGGGCAAGCGUUGUUCGGAAUUACUGGGCGUAAAGCGUGCGUAGACGGUAGCGUAAGUCAGAUGUGAAAGCCCCGGGCUCAACCUGGGAAUUGCAUUUGAGACUGCUCUGCUCGGGUGCGGAAGAGGGAAGCGGAAUUUCCGGUGUAGCGGUGAAAUGCGUAGAUAUCGGAAGGAACACCAGUGGCGAAAGCGGCUUCCUGGUCCGACACCGACGUUCAGGCACGAAAGCGUGGGGAGCAAACAGG
rnacentral:rRNA from 1 species